GCCGCGGGGAUGACCGAUUGCCGAUCUGAAACAACAGGUUGAUGCGAACUGACCGGACCCCUUGGGUGGCGAAAACAAUGUGCGGGCCAUUCCGGCAGACUAAAUUUUAGGCGGCAUGCUGCCGCAGCCGCAGAGCGCUGACGGCGAUUGACACGUUCUAAACAAUCUGCAUUAUAUUGCAUUAGUCGCCGAAGAGCGGCAGGAAGAACUGCAUUAUUAUUCUAAAGCAUGCAGUCGCCGAGGGGAGGGAAGCCAAUGCCUGCGUUCGCAGUACCUGCGGCGGAAGAAAUGCCGGCUGGGGGG
rnacentral:misc_RNA from 1 species